AAAGACUGAACAGGAAGGGACUCAGAGAGACAGAAAGAAGAACGGGACCUCGUCUUGCCCAAGGCUACUGUGCCGCACGCCAUGGUCGAGCUCUGAAGCUCGGGCCGACGGUGCAAAGGGGGGCAAGGAUGACCGUGAAGCGACGAAUCCAUCCUUGAAGAACACGACGGUCUCGACGACGCCGGCGGUACAUCGUAGUGACGUUGGCCCAUCGCCGAAAGCGGCAUUGGGGCAAUUCAAAUUGGGAACUCAGGUUGCCGGAGCACCACCUGUUCGACGAAAUGCCCCAGUGAACCCGACCCCAUGGCAGAGGCGUCUGGCAACUAGUGCAUGGCCGCGGCGCGAGUUCCCGGCGCGGUGUGCAGGAUCGACGCCCUCCCCAACGACGUCCUCCUCCGCGCCAUCUCCCACUUGAACGCCCGCCAGGUCGUGCAGACAUGGGCACUGGUGCGACCUCUAGCGCUCCGUGCACCGCAUCAAUGCCUCGCGACACGAGUUUGACGGCUUGGCUGACACCGACGAGGAGUGCGACGUGUUGUUCAAGAAGUUUGUCAACCGUUUCAUCAUGUUCCGUAGCCCCCUUGCAUUCGAUGAGUUCCGCCUCUGGUACCACAUAUCUAAUGAAUCAGAGGACUUCCACGCCGACUCGGAAGAUGCUAACCUAUGGAUCCGCCAUGCUUUACAGUACAAUGCUCGUUCUGUCGAGGUUAUCGAUUGGAUCAAUGAAUUGCAUCUCGAUAAUGCGGUGUUUGCUUCAAAGUGCCUCUUGACAAGCCUGCUGCUUUCCGGUCUUUUUCUGAUCCCUGGGUUCUUCAGAAACCUCCAAACGGGUUGCACAGUAUUGGGGCGUGUCUCAUCUUACGUUGCUGCACCAUUUAUGACCCUGAGAUUUCCUCCCAGACACUGAAGGUUUUGACCAUUGAUGGUGAAUGUCACUGCACAUAUGAGGGACGGGCCCCUGUUUCUAUUCCAAGCCUCAUUGAUCUUCGGUUCUCUGCCCCCGGAAGUGUACCUUUACUGAAGAACAUGGAAUCGCUAGUGAAAGCAUCGGUUUCAGUUGGUACUGCUGAUACUCAGGUUGAUGAUAUCUGUCAGUUUCUUAGGAGCCUUUGUGGUGUUACAAAUUUGGAAUUCUACUAUACAGGAAGAACUCUGGAGAUUGAACAGAAUUUCCAAUGGUGUCCAUAAUUCAACAAUCUUACAGCCCUGAAACUUGGUGAAUGGUGUCUGUAUGAUGACUUCUAUCCAUUGAUAGUCUUCCUUCAUAACUCACCUAAUCUGGAGAAGCUAACUAUAGAACACAAACCGCAGUAUGCGUAUGCAGAUUGAAAUUUCAUUGGCGACCUAGAAGAAAGAUUGUUCACGUGUGAGCAUCUUAAGAUAGUUGAAAUUGUUUGCUCGGAUUUGGUUGGUCCGGAGGAUGAUCCUGUGCUAAACAGCCUUGAGGACCUUCUAUAUGAGAACGGCAUAACCUCUGUCAGUUUCAUCCCAUCUAAGUUUCAGUUUUGAUGGAUGCAUGUUCUGGGAAAAUAUUACUGUAGAGCCAGGGUGGGCCCAUUAAGGGUCAUGCGGCGUUUGCGACUGUCAACUGAGCAAUGAGCAUCAUCUUAUUUCUUAGUUUCUUUGGUAAAUGGUAAUUGUUGGAUUGUGAAUGUUGCAAUUGUUCAGUUGAACUCGUUCAGAGUCUGAAUGUUUGAUGACUAAUAAGUGAUGCAAACAAACUUAGAUAGUUAGAUGUAUGGUGCAGUCGUUCUAUUUUGUCAUGAAAAGGUGCAUUUUUGCAAUGGUUCAUCAAAUUAGCUUUGAUAGCUUUGGCCUUGUUUUAUAAAGACAGUAAAAUGCAACAA